rnacentral:rRNA from 1 species
GACGUGACUUCAGAGUUUGAUCCUGGCUCAGGGCUAACGCUGGCGGCGCGCCUAACACAUGCAAGUCGAACGAACCUUCGGGUUAGUGGCAGACGGGUGAGUAAUGCGUGGAUAAUGUGCCUUUUUGCUGGGGAUACCGUUUCGAAAGGAACGUUAAUACCGAAUGUGCUGGGUUGGUGGCAUCAUCAACCCAGUAAACUGUUAGGGUGAAAAGAGCAGUCCGCGUUCUAUCAGCUUGUUGGUGGGGUAAUGGCCUACCAAGGCUACGACGGAUAACUGGUCUGAGAGGAUGAUCAGUCACACUGGAACUGAGACACGGUCCAG